UGAAAACAAGGCUGAAAUAUGAGAGUGAGUGAGCUGUGAUGUGAACUGAUAGCUGGGCAACAGUGAGGAGCUAUUGCUACUCCUAAAAUGAAAUGUGUAGAAUUGGUAAGAAGUGUUCAGAGGUGAACAAUGGUAUGUGGACAAGAAGUCCCGUGGCAUUUCCAAACCAGAUGUCUCUUUCAAGAAAAUAUUUUGGAGAACGACUGCAUUUCAAAGGAAGUGAUUGCCUUAAGCGCAGACUUGCCAGACCUGUCUGGUCCCAUCCUCUGCUGGGAAUGCUGCUCCAAGGACGUGCAUAACCUGAGCUUUCUGGAUACACACAGACUGGUUUGCAUGCAGAAACCAAGCAGAAAACCUGAGCCAUUUGAGUCACCACACAAAUGUGUAACGAAAUUAUAACCACGGAAUGAAACAGGAAUAAACUGUGCUAAUCUGUCUUUCAGUCGUAGUGGAAUGGCAAUAAAUACAGCUACAAAACCUUAUACUUUCUGCCCACCCGAAUAAUAAAAGUUCCUGUAUUUAUACAUGCAAUUUAUUUACUCAAUACCUGCAGUGUGCAUUUUUACAAGGGCUCGCACUGAAGUAUUCUGGGGGAAAAAAAAAUAUCAACAAACCUAAUCUAGAAAAGAAGUAUUAAAUAUCAUUUGAAUACAACCUAAUUACAAAAUGAAGAAAAAGAAUCUAAAGAUUACAGGAAGAAGUUGAGGUCCAAACCCUGGAAAACCUUAUCUUAUCAAAACCUUAAUUGAAUAAAAAAAUUGCUGGCAUGACUUUUCCCGUAUGCUUCUUUGAAAAUUACAGAUGAGAUAAAAAUGAAAAC